ensembl:lncRNA
UCUCUAAUCGCCUGCAACCUAUUGGGAGGGUAGUGGCUCCAGGGAUCAGAGACCCCAGUGUGUCUCUCUCAGGGCCCCCCCUUCCCCGUUUUUUGUCAUCGUCCGCCUUCCUGCAUCCCCUCUUUCCCCCAGAGCUCGUGAGCACUUGCUGCAUACCACUGUUCUGUGUGCUUCAUACGGGAUGGUGUCCUGAAGUCUUCCCAGCAACGCUCCGCGGUGGCUGUUACCGUGUGCAUCUCACAGCUGACGAGGCAGAGGCAUAGAAAGGGUCCCCCUGUCGGGCACCCACCUGCUCCAGGGGUCACCUGGGCAGCUUGGUGCGGCUGGGUCCCGGGUGCGCCUGCAGGAGCUCGGCCGUGAACUUAAGCACACCGGGAAAGCUGUCCGUGCAGACCUCACGGGGAGUGGUCGGAGCCCGGCUUGGAGCCGUUUUCCUUCACUCUCCCUGUCGCUACCUCGGCUGCUGUGCCUCGCAGACCAAGUUGCACCUGCACUUCUCCCAAGCGCAGGAAACCCAUGCUCAUUGCCCUGGAGAACGUGCUGUGGCUUCCUCGAUAAAACAUCCGACCUGCUGUCAGAUACUCAGCAGCCCAGAGAGCGCUCAUCUGCUGACACCUUCCUCCUGCCCUUGGCAAGGCUGCCUUGAGGCCGGAACGGGGAAAGGAGAUGCCCCAAAGCGAGGACCUCUUGGCGCAGUCUGGACGGUGCAGGGAGAGGGGAGUUCUGGACUCCGCUGGCCUGUUCACUGCCUCCCCCAACCUCACGCGAAGGACUGGGAUGAUGAUGGGGGGCUCAGGAACCCGGCUCUAGAUGACCGCCGUCGGAGCGCGCCAGCCAGACCGUCGAAAGCGAAAGCCUCCGAAGUCCUGCUCAGCGCUCAGCGCCGGUUAACACGGAGCGGCUGGAACAGCCGACGCGUGUGCGUGUUUAGAGAGGCACACCCAGCAGAGAGAGAGGCUUCCGGGAAAAUUGUAAUUGGCAUUAGGACACACGUACAGAAAAGUGAGCAGAUCCUAAGUACUGGGCAUAGAAUGCACACAGCCUGUAACCAGCACCCCCAUCAAGCAAAGGAGCAGAACAUACCAGACCCCGUUCCAGAAUAUGCCAUGGGCUUCUCUCCUGUUACGGACCGCCCUUCCGAGGGUAACCACUCUUUUGACUGCUAAAAUUACAGAUGCGUUUUGCCUACGUUUCAGCUUUAUAUAAAUGGAAUCACACAG